UGUGUGAAAAUCUUAUUUUGGGAAUUUUAAAAUUAAAGGUUAAGCAUAUUAUUAAAUAUUUCUAUAAAUUGAGCUUCAGCUGUGAUUGACAAGUUCUUUUAGUAAAAAAAAAAAAUUUAAUUUGAUAAUUUAUUCUGUAAAUUAGUGACCGGAUAAAUUUUGAAUUAUGAUGUCUCUUGGUAUUCUGCUAUGCAAUGUUGGCCAUAUCGACAUGCAUACUGUUAUAGAAGUUAGCUUCGUCUUUGUA
rnacentral:lncRNA from 1 species